rnacentral:tRNA from 1 species
GGGGGCAUAGCUCAGUGGUAGAAUGUGUGCUUAGUAUGCAUGGGGUCCUGGGUUCAAUCCACAGUACCUCCA